AACUGCUAACUUAAAGUUCUAGGUUCCAGGGAACCCUGGUCCCUGAAGAAAACUGCAGAAAUGGGCAGUGUACUCCAAAAGCAGUGCUCGCUCUCCAGCACCAUGACAGUUGGUAAACACAAAGAUGUAGCUGAAAUAGAGAUAAUAUGAAACGCACUCAGGGUACAAACCAUAUGCUAAGAGGCACAGUAUAACAGAGGUGUGAAUGCAUGGAGGUCAAAUGUGUGGAAAGGUAGACCAGACUAUGCAUUGUUUGUGUGGCAUGGGUGGUGAUUUCUUCUGCUCAGAGAACAUGAUCAUGUCCAGGGGAGAAAUCAGUGAGUCCUGGAUGAGUUCUCACAGAAUAGCAAUCACUUAGUUGAGAUUGCGAAAAUUGGAUAUACUCAGAGAAGUGCACAUAGGUUAGCCAUCACCAGGACUUUAUGGCUGAUUACUCUUAAAUCCUGCGUACGAAAGCAUGUACGAAAUGAAUUAUGUAAAUACACGUCACAGAGGAAUUGGUGAGGAAGAUCGUCUUGGUCAAGUUUAAAUCAUGGACAGUGACUGCUGCCAACUGUGUGUUUCUAUCAAAGAGUGAGUGACAGACCAAAGACACAGAGGUGGACUGGCUUCUGCCUCCACACCCGUCAUAGCUGUUUUCUCGACAGUCUCGUAGGCAGCUUUGACAGACAGAGUCAUGGCCUUGUUGAAUAUGUAAAUGUGCGGUGGUAAACAGUGUUUUCACUGUAUUUCUUUUUAAGUAGAGCCAUUAAAGGCAGAUUAGAUCUCGAGGGACGGGCUAUGCCAAAGUGGAAAAUUAUACGCAGAUUGGCAUUCAGAUGUCUGCGGCUUUAUUUUAAUUAGGUCAGACACCAUGAAGCUUCAUGAAACGAAGUUACUGGGGUAUAAAAUAAGGAGAGCAGCAAAGAGUGGCAAAAGCACUUUACAUCAUCGUUUUUUUUCUCCUUCUUUUUUUUCUCUCUCUCCCAACAGGUUUGAAACAAGGAUAAUUUAAACAAGGACAUUUGGAAUUACUUGGUUGCAGCAACUGAACUGUUUCAUUGAGUUAGAAGUCUGUUACAAAAAUACCUUCUCAAGGAUACGCUCUAACUUCAGAGAGUUGGAAGGGUGUUGUUGAGUAUUUGAGCUGACCUUAAAGGUAGACUUUAGCUUAACCUUUAUCUUUGCAUGCCCCCGUCUAAAAUAUCCUCCUCUGAACUAGAAUCCACACAGAACUGGUGUAUGAAUUGUGCUGUUGCUAUGCUGCAGUGGCAAAGGAACGCAAUGCCUUCUUAUGUCCUUGUUGGAUUUUCUAAAAUGCAGAUUUAUGGAAAUUCACCUAGCAUUUGCAUCCCUCGUCCCAGCGGUUCUGUCCGCAUACAUUAUGUUAAACCACGUUAAUGAUAGAUUAUAUUUCUGCCACCGCAAAACCUAUAUUUUUUCUGUAGUCAUGUUUCCUUUCUGGAUCCUUCCCUUCAUCAGACUGGCACAACAACGUUCUCCCCUCUUCUUCAAACAGAGUGGCAAAAAGAGCCCAACUCAGCUGAUUUAAAAACUGACAAAAUAUAUAAAAAAAUAAUAAGAAUAAGAAUAUUUUUUCUUCUUUCUGCUGAACCACACAGAGAAAUUAUCAGUCUGUGUUCAGUGCAUGAAGCUGCAAAAAUCCAAUGAAUGUAUUUCACCCUUGGCAAUAUGCAUACAUCAUACGAGGCAGCAGAUAACGCACACAGAGAGACACAAUAUUGACAAUGCAGAGGGACGGGUAUUAAUCAAACAGAGAUAAGUCCAUCCAUCCAGAGGAGACGCAAUGGGAGACGGAUGCCAAGGAGAAAGCUAGGACUUCACAGUCAGUGCAGCCAGGCUGGGCUUGGUACAAGGACAAAGGGAAGGUGAGACCACACGCAAUUUAUUAUGCAGCCAACGUGAUUUAUUCCUGGAUCUGGGAAAAAAUGAUGGCCGUUUUUUGACUGCUUGCCCCUGUUUUUUUUGUGCCACUGCAUUUCUUUGAUUGAGAGAGGAGAAAUGUUCUUUGAAAAGAUGUGUUUUUGUAGAGCAGUGGCUAGCAAGAUGCAAGUGCAAAAUACAACCUAAUUUUCUUUUUUCAGUCACGACAUGACAAAUAAGAUAAAAGCUACAGGUGAAAUCAGCAACAAGACCGUGGACACAUUAUUAAUGAAAACAAAACAAGUCAGAUAAUAAACACAAACCAUGCUAUUACAGAGUGAAGAUAGUAAACUACAUGCAAAGUUUUUUCACUUUUUGCCAGAAACUUCUGGAAGUUGUGAGUGCCAGUGGAGCCGCAGUAACAGAUGUGCCUAAUAAGGAUCAUCUUCAGGAGCAGCUGCAUGUUGAAUACUGGUUCAUUGACCAUACAAAGACAAAUGACUAACAGCUGUUUUUGCCAUCGCCGUCACAUCUCGAGGAAGGAAUUAAAAUAUAACAGCAUAGUUUCAUCUUUUCAUCAAUCCUCAUGUCCCACUCCAAGGUGAUUGAGACUGUUUUCUGUUUUUCUUGGAGUACU